rfam:Daphnia pulex DAPPTscaffold_1982_Cont13726, whole genome shotgun sequence.
GGGGAUGUAGCUCAGGUGGUAGAGCGCUCGCUUAGCAUGCGAGAAGUACGGGGAUCGAUUCCCUGCAUCUCCG